AUGAUUAUCUACUGGGACCUCAUCAGACACAAUGAGAUGUUCUCUGACAUUUACAAAAUAUGAAAGAUCAUGGACCAGCUGUGCUUGGAGGUAGAGGGAAAAAUAGUUGAUAAGACAGAGGGUAACAUUGAUGACUCACUGGUGGAAAUGCUUCCACUGAAGGCCUCAAGGGUGAAGGUACCAAAAGCACAGUCAUCACUGGUGUUGAUAUUGUCAUGAACCAUCACUUGUAGGAAACCAGCUUCACAAAAGAAGCCUGCAAGAAGUACAUCAAACAUUACAUGAAAUCAAUUAAAGGCAGACUUGAAGAACAGAAACCAGAAAGAGUAAAAGCUUUUAUGACAGGGCCUGCAGAACAAACCAAGCACAUCUUUGCUAAUUUCAAAAACUACCAAUUCUUCAUUGGUGAAAACAUGAAUACUAAUGGUAUGGUAGCUCUAUUGGACUACCAUGAGAAUAGUAUGAUCUAUAUAUGGUCUUCUUUAAGGAUGGUUUAGAAAUGGAA
rnacentral:lncRNA from 1 species